rnacentral:rRNA from 1 species
GGAGUCUGGGCCGUGUCUCAGUCCCAGUCUGGAUGAUCAUCCUCUCAAACCAUCUAACGAUCGUCGACUUGGUAGGCCUUUACCCUACCAACUAUCUAAUCGUACGCAGGCCAGUCCCAAACCGGAUAAAUCCUUUAAUCCGAAGAUCACAUGCGGUAUUAGCCACUCUUUCGAGUAGUUAUCCCUCAGUUUGGGGUCCGUUCCCACGCGUUACUCAGCCGUCCGCCGCUCGUCAGCGGGGUUCCACUGUACACUCGAAAUCUGACCCUCCGUCAUAACGCGAGGCGUCAAGUGUACGAUGGAACCCCCUGUUACCGCUCGACUUGCAUGUAUUAGGCACGCCGCCAGCAUUCAUC